AAAAGCCCAAGGUUUCCUACGCAACGUUCAUCGGCGUAGGGUGAGUCGGCUCCUAAGGCGAGGCAGAAUGCGUAGUCGAUGGGAAACAGGUCAAUAUUCCUGUACCGAUUCUAGAUGCGAUGUGGGGACGGAGAAGGUUAGGUCAGCCGGGUGUUGGACGUCCCGGUUUAAGCGUGUAGGCGUGCCCCUUAGGCAAAUCCGGGGGGCUGAGCUGAGGCGUGAUGACGAGGAACCACGGUUCCGAAGUGAUUGAUACCAAGCUUCCAGGAAAAGCCACUAAGCUUCAGUCUAGAGUUGACCGUACCGCAAACCGACACAGGUGGGCAGGAUGAAAAUUCUAAGGCGCUUGAGAGAACUCAGGAGAAGGAACUCGGCAAAUUAACACCGUAACUUCGGGAGAAGGUGUGCCCCGGUAGCGUGUAGAGACUUGCUCUCGAAGCGCGAUGGGGUUGCAGUGAAAUGGUGGCUGCGACUGUUUAAUAAGAACACAGCACUCUGCAAACACGAAUGUGGACGUAUAGGGUGUGACGCCUGCCCGGUGCCGGAAGGUUAAGUGAUGGGGUGCAAGCACUUGAUCGAAGCCCCGGUAAACGGCGGCCGUAACAAUAACGGUCCUAAGGUACGAAAUUCCUUGUCGGGUAAGUUCCGACCUGCACGAAUGGCGUAACGAUGGCCACACUGUCUCCUCCUGGGACUCAGCGAAGUUGAAAUGUUUGUGAAGAUGCAAUCUACCCGCGGCUAGACGGAAAGACCCCAUGAACCUUUACUGUAGCUUUGCAUUGGACUUUGAACCGGUUUGUGUAGGAUAGGUGGGAGACUGUGAAGCCGGGACGCUAGUUUCGGUGGAGUCAACCUUGAAAUACCACCCUGAUUUGUUUGAGGUUCUAACCUUGGUCCGUGAAUCCGGAUCGGGGACCGUGCAUGGUAGGCAGUUUGACUGGGGCGGUCUCCUCCCAAAAGGUAACGGAGGAGUACGAAGGUACGCUUAGGGCGGUCGGACAUCGCCCACAAAGUGCAAUGGCAAAAGCGUGCUUGACUGCGAGACCCACAAGUCGAGCAGGUACGAAAGUAGGUCAUAGUGAUCCGGUGGUUCUGUAUGGAAGGGCCAUCGCUCAACGGAUAAAAGGUACUCUGGGGAUAACAGGCUAAUUCCUCCCAAGAGUUCAUAUCGACGGGGGAGUUUGGCACCUCGAUGUCGGCUCAUCACAUCCUGGGGCUGUAGUCGGUCCCAAGGGUAUGGCUGUUCGCCAUUUAAAGUGGUACGCGAGCUGGGUUUAAAACGUCGUGAGACAGUUUGGUCCCUAUCUGCCGUGGGCGCUGGAAAUUUGAAGGGGGCUGCUCCUAGUACGAGAGGACCGGAGUGGACGAACCUCUGGUGUACCGGUUAUGACGCCAGUCGUAUCGCCGGGUAGCUAAGUUCGGAAGAGAUAAACGCUGAAAGCAUCUAAGCGUGAAACUCGCCUUAAGAUAAGAUUUCCCGGAGUCUUGAACUCCCUGAAGGGUCGUCGAAGACCACGACGUUGAUAGGU
rnacentral:rRNA from 1 species